rnacentral:rRNA from 1 species
UGGCGGACGGGUGAGUAACGCGUGGGGAACCUGCCUUGCACCGGGGGAUAACACUUAGAAAUAGGUGCUAAUACCGCAUAAGCGCACAGAGCCGCAUGGCUCGGUGUGAAAAACUCCGGUGGUGCAAGAUGGACCCGCGUCUGAUUAGCUGGUUGGCGGGGUAACGGCCCACCAAGGCGACGAUCAGUAGCCGGCCUGAGAGGGUGAACGGCCACAUUGGGACUGAGACACGGCCCAAACUCCUACGGGAGGCAGCAG